rnacentral:rRNA from 1 species
UACAGAGGGUGCAAGCGUUACUCGGAAUUACUGGGCGUAAAGCGUGCGUAGACGGUAGCGUAAGUCGGGUGUGAAAGCCCCGGGCUCAACCUGGGAAUGGCAUUCGAGACUGCUCUGCUAGGGUGCGGAAGAGGGGAGCGGAAUUUCCGGUGUAGCGGUGAAAUGCGUAGAUAUCGGAAGGAACACCAGUGGCGAAAGCGGCUCCCUGGUCCAGCACCGACGUUCAGGCACGAAAGCGUGGGGAGCAAACAGG